CCUACGGGUGGCUGCAGUGGGGGAUAUUGCACAAUGGGGGGAACCCUGAUGCAGCGACGCCGCGUGGGUGAAGGAGCGUUUCGGCGCGUAAAGCCCCAUCGGCAGGGAAGAAGGAGGACGGUACCUGACUAAGAAGCCCCGGCUAACUACGUGCCAGCAGCCGCGGUACUAGGGAGGAUGCGAGCGUUAUCCGGAUUCAUUGGGUUUAAAGGGUGCGCAGGCGGGCCUUUAAGCCGGCGGUGAAAUCGCGGGGCUCAACCCCGCCGAGCCGGCGGAACUGGGGGCCUUGAGUGCGGCGGAGGCAUGCGGAAUGCGCGGUGUAGCGGUGAAAUGCAUAGAUAUCGCGCAGAACCCCGAUUGCGAAGGCAGCGUGCCGUGCCGCCACUGACGCUGAGGCACGAAAGCGCGGGGAUCGAACAGGAUUAGAUACCCCAGUAGUC
rnacentral:rRNA from 1 species